CGCCUUCGCCGCCAUCAAAUUUCCUGUUUAAAUCCAGGAAGAAAGCGCGGUGAGUGUUGUAUUUCUUUGAUACUAGCAAGCCUUUUGAUUUAACUGUAGAGUUUGUACCUAGCUGUAGGUCAUUUUUAUUACUUCUUGCUUAUGUAGAACAAAUAGUUGCCAAAAUGGAGAAGAAGAAAAGAAAGCUGCUUACAUUAUCUCAUAAGUGGGUCUCUUUCUUGCUUGGCUUGUUCUUAGAAAUGUAUUUUUUUCUCCUUUUCUAAGGUGUUUACUUGAGUCUAAAAGUCUCCUUUUUAACGAAUGCUUAUCAACAUGUAUGACUUAGGAUUUUAGGAUCAACCCCACUCCAUUUGACCCUUGCUACCAAUAAUGCCGAGUUUUAGGAAUCCCAGGAUUAACGGUAAAUGUAAAGCUACAAAGACGUUGUGUUUUAGGAUUGAAGGAUCAACCCCACUUCAUUUGACCCUUGAUUAAAUUUGCUCUGUUCUUGUGGGCUUAAUACACUUUAAUCCAUACCUAAGGCUUAAUUAACUGUUCUUUUUGCCCCUAUAGGCCCCAGCGUAUAUAUAUGUCCCUUUUCCUUUUGUCAUUUACCUUUUAGAAAGUAGCUGAUUUUUGUUCCAUGGAUCAUGAAAUUCAGUAGCGUGGGACAACUCUUGGACCCGGACUUUAUUUUGCAUUAUGACACAUUGAUUCAAUUUUAUAGUAACAUUGGUGUCUUAAAAUCUUAAAAACAUUAGGUCCUGAAUUGAUAAUAAUGAAAGAUGAAGCUCUAUGUGUUAACCAAAAACAUUGGUGUCUCUUCUGUUAUAAGAAGGUUCUUCAUAGUGUUUGUUUAUAGUGGUAGAAAUUAUACCCCCCCCCCCCCCCGGCCCAAACAAAAAAUAAAAAUAAAUAAAGCAUGGAAAAAGUUAUCCACAUAUCAGAAUAUACGCAGUUUUGUUCCAUUGCAAAAAGAUUCUCAAACACUCUUAGGUGCCUUUGCUUUGAGUUUUGUAGCAUAAAUUUGGCUACGAGUUGAGAUAGAAUCUGAGGUCAGUCAGAUUGAGAGAGUUGAACAAAGAUUUGAUUGCGAUAGGAAUUGAGAUUCUCUGUGUCGUUUUGGAUGCCGAGUGACAUUUGCUGAUAUGAAAAGCAAUGCCUAUUAGGUUUAAGCCUUAAGAUGAAAAGUUGAGAGUGAUGAGCAUUUGAGCUCCUUUGGGCCUUGGGUGUGGGGCGAUGAAUGUGACUGUGACUGCAAUUAACGAUUAUAAUUGCGUUUAAUGAUCUUGGCAUGAAAUAAAGUUGGAUGUUUCAUUCCCAACAAGGGUUCUGUAUUAUUGGGCUUUUCACAAUUUCAAGGUCUCGCUUUGGUUUUUUGCUCAAAUGGGCCUUAACCGUUUGAGAUGAAUCCGGCUUAGUCCUUGGUUCCUCCAUGGAAUGUGCCUGCAAUUCUGUUUGAGAAAUAAUAUUCUUCAACUUUUCACCUCACUCAAAUCUAAAAUCUGAACCCCUUGUUCUUUUACCAUGAUUAUUUUUCUUUCAACAUUGCUUCUUUCAUUGACAUUUUUGUUAUUAUUUAUGUUUUAAAAAUCAGUAAUAAGUCAAAUUAAGUAAAGGCAAAUCCAUGGUUAAGGUGGUGAAAAGGAAAUAGCAAAUGAACAUGCCAGUAAAUUGGAUCCCUUAGAUAUUGAAAAAAUAUCAAUCACAUGGAGCCACAGCAACCCAAAGCGAACUUUGAUCAAUUAUGUGAAUGAGACAGAGUCGCGAGAAAACCAUGAGUUGCAGCAUUUAUGAAGAGUAAAUGCGCUAUAUUAACUAACCAACAAAACUGGUAGUAGUUGCUCAAAUCAAUUUAUUAUUUUUACCUAUCUCCACUCCAUCUAUUCAUUACCAUCCGGAAAAUGAAAUGUAGGAAUAUAUGACGACAGCAUCUCAUUUUUAUAAUUUCUAGAAAUUAUAAUUUCAAAAGGUUAGAAAUCAGAUAUGUUAAAUUGAUGGAGUGGGUUUGGAGUUUAAUUAUACCAACAAUCAGAGUAUCUAUUUUCUAAUGCUUUUCCUUGAUGAGGAAGUUUUACAAUAAAGAAUGAAAAUGAGACAGGAAGAUAAUAAGGGGAAGAUAUUAAUCAGGCUUCCUUUUUUUAAUUGUAUAAUGAUUUACUAAAAAUAUUUUCUGUGUUUAUAUCAUAGACAAUAACCUGGUCAACAGAAAUUUAUUAAAAGUAAUAAAUAUUAAUAUUUUAAUAAUAAAUAUUUAUUACAAUUAUAGAUAUAUUAAUAAUAAAUGUUUUGUAGUAUAAAGGUUAAAAUAUACCAUAAGUCCAUCUACUCUUCACAAAUUUAGAAUUUAGUCUUUGUACUUUUACUUUUAAGAAUAAAGUUAGUCCCUGUACUUUUAUUUUCAAUAAUUUAGUUCCUCUAUUUUUCAAUUUUGAAAAUCAAGUCCAAUUGUUAAUAUUGUUAAAUUUCUUUAUCAAUUUUGUUGAUGACGCAUUUUCAAAUAAAAAAAAUACUCACUUAGUAGUCUUGUAACUAAAAGAUUAUGUUGUAUGAAUCUGAAUUUAACAAAAUAAUUUUAAUAUAUGCAAAAAUAAUACAAAAUAUAAAUUUAUAGAUAUAAAAUAAACUCAAUUAAAUAACAAAAAAGAUGAGAAAAUCUCAAAUGUAUGUUUGUUUUAUUGUAAACAAUUUUUAUAAAAUAUUUUUAGGUAAUAUGUCAAACAAUAAAAAAUAUUUUACACAAGUUCAUCCAAACACUAGAAAUUAUUAAUUUUUCCAAAAAAGCAUGUCAUUUUCUAAAAAUAAUUUUCGGGAAGUCAUUUUUAAUAAAACAAACAGAGCUUGAGAGGAAAGAGAUGGUAAGAGAAAGAUAACUUCAUAGUAAAGGAUCAUACCUCGUCUUUUUGCUUGGUAUGGGUUGUGUUGGUAAUGUAAAGUGGAUAAUCCUAUACAUUGGUUUAGAAAAGAUUAUUAAAGGAGUUUAAAUAUAGCUUUGUCUCUAAUUUUUAUUGAGUAAUUAGGGCUAAUGGCUCAACACAUGCAAACUAUUGCCGUUAUUCGUAUCCGUGUUAACACAUAUCGUGUGUGUUUUUUUAAAUAAAAUUUUUGUUCCUUUUAUCAGAAAUAUUUUUUAGUUGCAGAAAAUAUUUUGGUUGUUGCAGAAUAUUUUAGGUUGAGGAAAAUCCUCUGCUAUUUUUAAAAUUUGACAUUUCUAUUUUACUAUUCUGCCCUUCAUAGAACAAUAUCAAUAGCAGACUAUUUUCUCAUUUUACACAACAAGAAGCAAACAUCAAUUUCUUCUUUGCUUUUCUUAGCUCACUUAUUUUCUGUUCAAAAAAAAAUUUUCAAUCAAAUUUCCAACCAAGUUUUCAGCUCUCCAACCUACUUUUUUGAAUAUUUUUGAGAAAAACAAUUCCAGUUAUGUUCCACCUUCUUUAUUUAGGUGUAUAAAUAUUGAAGUACUUCGUUAAUUGAAGGUGAUGUCUACUACACAAUUACACCGAUUACGACAAAUUUAUUUUUAAAAUAAUAAUCUUUUACAACACAUUGAUUAUUUUAUUUAUUUAUUCUAUGAAUGGCAUCUAUUUAUUUUUGCAAUAGUAUAUUUCCAAUUGAUAGUAGUUGACAAUUAACAUAUUUGUCUUUAUAUUAUGACAUAAGAUUGUACUAUAUUAUUAGAAAUAAAAAGUUUAUUUUAAAAAUAUUAAUUAUUUAUUAGGCACAGUAUUAAUGAUAUUUAUUCAAUUAAUAAUUGUUGUCAUAAGUAGUUAUUUAGAGUUUGCUACAACUAUUUUUCUUCAUAAACCGCAUUCUCACUCAUCCCAUUCGAGCUGUCUGAAAACCAUGGAAGAUCAAUCCUCUACUUCAGCACCAUCCAUUGAUCCCUUCAAGUUACUCAAAAUUGUCCAAAAUCCAGAUGGGUCACUCACUCGACAAUCUCUUUUCCCUUCAGUUUCAAUUACAGAUGAAGAAAGCACCAGUUCCAACACAUCUCAACUCGCCUUCUUCAAGGACAUCCCUCUGAAUCCCCAAAACAAAACCUUCAUUCGUCUCUAUAGGCCACCAACUCCACCACCAAGCACCAAUCAUAAGCUCCCUCUCUUAAUACACUUUCACGGUGGCGGCUUUAUCCUCUUCAGUGCUACUUCUCGUCCUUUCCAUGAUGCAUGCAGUCUCAAGGCAGUUAAACUCCCAGCCGUAGUCCUCUCUCUCGAAUACCGUCUGGCACCAGAGCAUCGCCUUCCGGCUGCAUACGAUGAUGCCGUUGAAACCAUCAUGUGGGUCCGGGACCAGGCGAUGGACGUCAACGGCUGUGAUCCGUGGUUAAAAGAGUAUGUAGAUUUUUCCAAGUGUUUUCUGAUUGGUUCUAGUGCAGGGGGCAACAUGGUUUUCCAUGCAGCUUUACGUGCGUUGGACAUCGAUACCUCGCCUGUGAAAAUCAUAGGGCUGAUAAUGAAUCAGCCCUACUUCAGUGGGGUGGAAAGGACUGAAUCGGAAAAGCGAUUCGUCAAUGACAGGAUCUUGCCUUUACCAGCUAAUGAUCUGAUGUGGUCCUUGGCUUUGCCCGAGGGAGCUGACCGGGAUCAUGAGUUUUGCAACCCGAUGGCGGCUGACGGGUUCCUUAAGGAGAAGAUGGGACGGCUGACACGGUGCUUAGUGACAGGCCACGGAGGGGAUCCACUAAUUGACAAGCAGAGGGAGUUGGUGAAUGUGCUGGAGGCGCGUGGGGUGGAUGUGGUGGCGGAGUUCGCUGAAGGAGGUUGCCAUGGGAUUGAAAUUUUCGAUCCGUUGAAAGCGGAAGCAUUGCUUAAGAGCAUCAAGGAUUUUGUCGACACUUGCUGUCGGUGUGUUAAUUCUGAGUCUGCUGCUGCCAAAUCAACCCUGUGAGCUAGGCUGCCCGUACUAGCAACAAUAACUAAUUCUAUUAGAGGGAAAUGAAAUUCGAGUCAAGUUAAGCUAAAUUGGGUGACUGUUAAAUUAAAAUCUUGUUAUAGUAUAACUAAUUCCCUUGAAUUAUUAAUUAACUUAUUUAGUCUCAAAAUUAUUAAUUUUUAAAUUUUUUAAAAUUUUAACUUUCAUUAUAUAUUGUUUAGAUUUUUAAAAUUUUUAAAUUUUUUUUUAAAAUAUAAAUUUUAGGAUUUUUAUAAAUAUUUAGAAUUUUAAAAAUUAUUUUGAAUUAUUUUAUAAUUUUGUUGUUGAAAGAGAGGUUAAUUUGUUUUUUUAAAGAUAGGGACUAAAAUAAUAUUUAUACUAAUCUGUUAUUAAAAUAGUAAAAUUUAACUCGACUCAAACUUAAAACUCAAAUUACUUAUUCGAGUUGACUCAAAUAACUCGAUUCGAUUAACUAGAAAUUUAAAUUUUUUUAAAAUUUUUUUUUAAUCUAAUCAAAUUUUGUUCAGAGAAUAAUAUAAUUUAGUACACUCAAAUUUAUAUCAUUAUAUACUAAUAAUAAUACUUAUAUCAAUAAAACUAAUACUCAAUCCAUUACUAUAAGCAUCGUCAACAUCAUCCACUUAUCCGCCUGUCAUCACAUUUGUUGUCUAGAGUUGUAGUAUAUCUCUGGGUUUAUCUUUUUUGGUACACUAUCUAGAUUUAUUAAAUUGUAACGUUUUUUACUAAUAAAAAAACCUGUAUAAUAAUAUUUAAUUAUUUAUAUGUUUUGGAAAAAUUAAAGAAUUAUAAAUGGGGGCUUCUCAUUGGUAGGUGAGCUAGAGCCAGUCAUGCUGACUCGAGCAAAGGAAAAAUACGGCACCAAAAUUAACACAAUAGUUUUCUUAACCAGAUAAGCUGAGAGUUUCCAAGUCUCCUUUUGGCAAUUCAUCAUUCACUCCCUCUUUCCAUUAUUUGUAUCUCAAGUGUAAAACUCCAGAGGAACGGACUUCGAUGACCAGCAGUGGAGGCGAUGCGUCACCGCCACUGACUGCCAACGGUGGCGAAUUUCUCCUUUCUUUACUCCAAAAGCCCCAAUCGCAUCAUCCUCCACAACAAUCUCCAUUACGCCCUAGAGUGGCUCCCAUGACCGUGCCUCAACCGCAAGCUCAAUCGCUCGCCAUUGAUCCUGCCGUUCAAGCAGUGGGGCCCACACUCCCUUUCUCGCCAUCUUGGUCACCGAAUGGACGCGAUCUCCCCAGUUCUUGGCCCCACAAUCUCUCUCCGCCCUUCGAUCCUAAUUUGAUAGGGUUUCGCCAAAACCCUUGGUUUUCUCCGGGAAACCAAAUUGUCUUUAAUCAAGAAGCUUUAGUGGAUGACUUGAGAAGGAUAGGGCUUUCAAGGAUAGACAAUAAUAACAAUCACGUAAUCCCGAAUCUGACCCAGCUAAAGCAUCGAGAACAAAAACUCGUCUUUGGUUCUUUUCCUAGUGAUAUUCAAACCCUUUCAAAGCCUGAUGGCGUGCCUCAAAAUUCGAAUUUGAAAUUUUCAAAUCAGCAAUCUAACUCUCGGCUUAAUUCCAAUCCAAAUUCGAGCCCAUACUUUUUCCAACGUCGAAAUUCUGAUGGAAGAGGAAAGCAACAGCAGCAUGGUGGGAAUUGCAGGUCUACCCCUUCUGCUGAAACUCCAAGACAGCCUCCAGGGUUUUCAGGAAAGCCUAGAAGAGGAGGAGGAGGAAGUCGGGAUUUCGGAAAAAAUGCGAGACAUGUUGAGCACAGUGUAAAUAAAUUAAAAGCGGAAUUGGGUCAUUUGAGUUAUGACAAUGAAACGAGACUUCGUGGACAGCUUGAUCACCCUGUGCCGCCGGCAGGGAGCAAUCCGCAGUCUGUUUCAGUGACUGAGAUUGAAGGGCCUCUUUUGGAAUUGCAUAUGGAUGGUGGUGCAAAUGGGUUUUCAAGGCGUGAUAAGCCUAGAAGAGAAGAUGGUGGCGAAGUCGAUGAAAUUGAGGAAAAGUUUGUUGAACCUUUGUUGGUUGAGGAUGAAUCUGAUGAUAAGAAUGACAAGAAGCGGCAUCAUCGUGAGAAGGUAGACUUAUUUUCUUACUUCUGUUACUUUUUAUUGCCUUGAAUCAAUUGCUAUAAUCUGUGAAGCUUUGAGAGAACUGAGAGUUAAAAGAUUGAGGUGGAUGCCUGAAUUAUAAUUGAAAUUAUAUGGUCACAGGUAAUUUUGGUAGUGUAUGCUUAAUACAUCUUAAAUUUAGUUGGUAAUAUUGCCCAAAAUAAUGUUUGGCUGAACACAUCAUAUCAGUGCCCUUGAAGUUUGAGUUUUAUCAUACACCAAGGACUGUGUCUAGGCAGUCAGAAUUUCAUACUGAAAAUUUUGGACUGUUCAUCAUUAUUACUUAGCGAAAGGCUAGACUAUGUUUGAAUUCAGGAUUACUUGUGGUUUUUUUUUUUUUUUUUUAAAAUCAGGAAUACAGAAAAGAUAACAGGGGGCAAAGGCUACUUAGCCAGAGGGAGAGAAUGUUAAAAAGGCGGACGGAUUGUCGCAGUGAUAUUCUCAGGUUAAAUUCACCUUUACUUGCUAUCUAUGAGUCACUCAUACCUCCUGUGGAAGAAAAAGCUAAGCAGAAACAGUUGUUAGCAUUACUUGAGAAACUAGUUUGCAAAGAAUGGCCAGAAGCACGGUUAUAUCUCUAUGGAUCUUGUGAGAACUCUUUUGGGGUGUCAAAGAGUGACAUUGAUAUUUGCCUUGCAUUUAAUGAGGACAUUCACGACAAGUCUGAAAUCUUGCUAAAGUUGGCAGAUAUUUUGCAGUCAGAUAAUCUUCAGAAUGUGCAGGUUGAUACGUGUUACCUUCUCCAAAAUUCAUUGUAAUAAACUACAUAUGUGGUGUAGCGAUAAUUGUUUUCCUUUCAAAUUGAUAUAUAAUGUUUGCUUAGAUUUUCAGUUUUGUUUUAUUUUAGAUGGCAAUUUUCUGAAUUCGCUUUGUUUCAACUGAUUUGUUCUAUUUAUUGAUAGCUGCUUCUUAGGACUUUGGUUUCUUAUUUUUUACUUUUAAAUAGGCCAAUGUUAAUGAGCCAUGAUUACAAUUUGUGCACUCUGCAGGUUUGUAAUCCUGAUUGGUUGAUUACAAGUGGCAAUUAAUGCAUUCUUUUUUGUUUGCCUUUGUGGAUGAAAAUUUAAGAUGCGAAAAUCUUCUGCCGAAAUUUGAUUAGUACAUGCCCGUUAAGUAGUCUCUAUUUUACAACCCCUAAGAUUCAUCAUCUGAUUUAUAUUAGUUUGAGAAGUUGCGGGUUCUGAGCCCCCCCUUCUGUUUCCAUUGAACUUUCUUACUUUUUGUUGUCACUUCCAGCUGAUAUGCUUUCAUAAUCUGUAUAGAGAAUUUGCACUUGAAUUUCAGACUCAUAAUGUGUAUGGAGAAAAUUGCAAUUGAAGCUUAGACUGUUUAUGGUUAAACUUUACAGUAAAAUUGAGUAUAACUUGCUGUUGGCCUCAUGUACAGGCACUGACUCGUGCCAGGGUCCCCAUAGUAAAGCUUAUGGAUCCAGUGACUGGAAUUUCCUGUGACAUAUGCAUAAACAAUGUUUUGGCUGUAGUAAAUACAAGGCUUCUACGAGAUUAUGCAAAGAUUGAUGUAAGAUUACGGCAGUUGGCUUUUAUUGUGAAACACUGGGCCAAGUCCAGAGGAGUGAAUGCAACUUACCAAGGAACUCUAUCUAGCUACGCGUGAGUUGUUUGCAACUAUAAUGCUAUUCCCAUAGCUAGCAACAUCAUUCCUGAGCAGCAUAUUUCAAUGGUAUUUGUGGUUAGUCUAUUUGGUUUGCUUUGAAAUGAAUAAAAACAUAGAUAAAAGUAUAAGCUGUGAUGAUGCCAAUUUAGGUAGGAUUCAUGUAUCUAGAGAGAGGGUAGGGCACAUUUCAGUUAUUGCUUAAUUUAACUUGCAGCAAUAAAAUCACCUGUUCUUCUUAUUUAUUUAUUUAUUUUUAUCAAUUAUUAUUUUUAGCUAGUAUUUUCUUUGCAGGUAUGUUUUGAUGUGCAUUCAUUUCUUACAGCAACGUAGACCUGCUAUCCUUCCAUGCUUGCAGGUGUGUAUGCUUUUUGCUUCCUAUAUCAAUUUUUUUUUUAAUUAGUAUUUGGAUUUUGCCCUACCUUUGCUACAACAUUGUUGGUAGAAAUUUUCUUCUCCUAAAUAGUAAAGGUUACAUGAUAACCUAUUUUCUUAUAUACCAUUUUUGGUUUUAUUCAGUUAUUGUUUAUUACUAUUUUUUUACAUGCCUUGUCUAGUAGACUCUGAAAUUUGGCUGUAUAUUUUAAGGAUAAAGGAUCAAUAAACUGUGUGUUUACCAGUACCUUGUAUUGCUUUGGCAUGGUAGAAAGAAUUGGGUGAUAUAAUGAAAGGGUGGCACACUUAAGAAAGAGAGUUAUAAAAUGAAUGGAAAGAUCUGUCCCUGAAAGAAAAGGACAUUUUAUUAUGGGUUUUGAUCUUUCACUGGUUAGGAGCUGCAGUCAUUUUUUACCUGCCUGGUUUGUGUGUGAUUGUUGGUUCUGUUCCCUAUAAGCAAUUGUAUGGUCCGUAUUUAUAUGAAGUUAGUUUCAUGUCUCACAUAUCAUGGUCUUUAUUCCUUUGCAUGAAACAUUUCUUGAGAAGAUUUUUUUUUUGGCAAAAUUACCACGACUAGAUGUUUUUGGGUUAGUCAAUCAGAUUUUUCAUUUGCUAAUUCUCUUUCAGGGAAUGGAGACAACCUUCUCUGUCACUGUGGAUGAUGUUGAGUGUGCUUACUUUGAUAAAGUCGAAAACCUUUGCAAUUUUGGAUCUUCUAACCAGGAAACUAUUGCUCAGCUGGUGUGGGCAUUCUUUAACUAUUGGGCAUAUAUUCAUGAUUAUGCAAAUUCAGUAAUAUCUGUACGCACAGGAAGCUUGAUCAGGUGAGAUGCAAACUAUUAUCUUUCAGGAAUGCUAAUAAAGUUUGAGGUGAACAUAUAAAAUGUUUUCAUAGUUUCUGAACUUAUAAGUACAAGUUAAGAUGCAUGUAUCUGGUUUCGUUUUAAAUACCUUCUUUGGGUAUUAGUUGCAUCUUGUGGGGAAUGAAUUAUUUUAUUAACAGAUCCAUUUACUGUAGUAAGUUCUGAGCCAGGGAGAAACAUGAGUGCACUCUUUUAGAAUGGCUUGCAAUUUGCAAAUGAUCAAUAGAUGCUAUAUUUGGUUUUGCAUAAACCGAGGACUAAAUAGUUGUAGGUGGGGAUAAAAUAAAUGAAUUCUACAAAACAAAAACGUUUUUAAUUUGAUGACUCCAUUUGUGCAGUAAGGGAGAAAAAGACUGGACAAGAAGAAUUGGCAAUGAUCGUCAUUUAAUCUGCAUAGAGGAUCCAUUUGUGGUAUCUCAUGACCUUGGUCGAGUGGUGGACAAGUUCAGCAUUAAAGUUCUAAGAGAAGAGUUUGAACGAGCGGCUGAUGUAAUGCAGUAUGAUCCAAAUCCUUGGAUAACACUCUUUGAACCUUACGUCCCUGGGUAACAAAACCUUGUCCAAGUGUGUUAGAAAAUGAAUGGUUAAAGCUAUUUGGUUGGUUUUCGUAGUCUGUGUGCUUUGCAUCCCCCAUAAUCUUCAAUUUUGUCCUUUUGAGUUCACAUCCAUUUUAAAGAAGUUUAAGCUUAUUAUAUGUAAUCAAGAAAAGAAAUUUCCAAACAUUUUAUGGAUGAAUGUUAAACAAGUUGUAAUUAAUUGAUUGAUAGUGUAUACAAAAUUCCUAUAUGAUCUAAACAUAUUCAUAUCAAAUGAGUGUGUUAUAUCGUAUUUGUGUCUUCAAGUGAAAUAAACAAAACAGUCUGAUUUGACAAGCAUUAAUAAAACAACUGCUUUGCUUGAAAAUAAUGCCCUUAAGAAAAGACUACCAUAGUUUAUACCACCUGCUAGUUAAAAAUAACGUCACACAUAUUCAAUUCACCUACCAUUAACUUCAAUUAUUUGACUGUAUGUAUGUUUCGUAACUGUUCUAUCAGCAUCUAAUAACUCUCUGUUGCUCUCUUUUCUUCUCUCCGAAGCCAAAACAAAAACAAUCAAAUCACAACUGAAAUGGUACAUUGUAUAUUAGCCAAUGCCUCCACCUGGUGAAAGGUCUAAUUUCUUACCUACUUCUGGAACAAAAAACCAACAUCAACCUUCAGCUUUAGAUGCAUCAAUCCUUGGAUCUGAAUCUGAUAUGCCAUCUCAGUUCAUAUGGCCACACCACGAGAGACCAUGCCUGGAAUCCCCACAGCUUGUAGUUCCAGCCAUUGACUUGGGAUUUGUCCUCUCAGGUGCCGAUCACCAACAUUGUGGAUAAGGCAUGCAAGAAGCAUGGAGAUGUUAUGGUUGUAAACCAUGAGGUGGAUCCGGGGCUUGUGGAUAGAGCUCAUCGGUGCAUGGACUUGUUCUUUCGUAUGCAACUCUGUGAGAAGCAAAAGGCACAGAGAAAAAUAGGAGAAAACUCUGGAUAUUCGAGUGGCUUCGUUGGCAGGUUUUCCUCCAAGCUGCCAUGGAAAGAAACUCUGUCUUUUCGAUAUUGCCCUGACAGUCCAAAUAUCGUGGAACAAUAUUUCGUCAGUGUAAUGGGUCUAAAUUUUAGACAUUUUGGGUAUGUAAAAGCUCACCAUUCUAUAUAGUAUCUUAAAUAAACCAGACAAAUGUAAUAUAGAAUGUCUAUGUGUUUCAAUGAUAGGAAGGUUUACCAGGAAUAUUGUGAAGCCAUGAACAAGCUUUCCAUGAAGGUUAUGGAGCUGCUGGGAGUAAGUCUGGUACUCGGCCGACCUUACUUGAGAGAUUUCUUCCAAGGAAUUGACUCAAUCUUAAGACUGAAUCAUUAUCCGCCAUGCCCAAAACCUGAUUUGGCUCUAGGAACCGGUCCUCACGCCGACCCGACUGCCUUGACCAUUCUUGAUCAGGAUCAGGUGGGUGGCCUUCAGGUUUUCGCAGAUCAUCAAUGGCAUUCUCUUAACUCCCAUCCCAGGAGCAUUCGUCGUCAACAUUAGCGACACAUUCAUCUUUAAUAUUAUAUCAUAAACUCUAAGACUUAGAAAGCAAAUUUAUUAUUACAUCGACUUAAAAUUUUACAAUUUUUACAGAAUUCAAAAAAUUUACCAUUUAAAAGGGGCUAAGGGCUGCCAUGACCAUAAAACAAGGAAAAUUGUACUGUGGGCUCCAAGCUCACACUAAAAUUUUUUAGAUUGACCAACAUUUUAAAUAUUUUUGUGAAAAUUUUGAAUAUCGAUAUAAGUUAAAAAUUUUGUUAAAUUUGAAAAUUUUAAUAAAUCUGAAAAAAAUUUAUGCACUCGCUAUAGAAUUUUUACACAAUAAUCAUAUAUAUUGAAGUCUCAAUUAAAAUUUAUAUUAAAAUCUUAAAAAUAAUAUUUUUGAAUGAUCGUCAUUUCUAAGUCACUCUGGAAACCUUAAAAGUUUUUCAGGCUUUUUUGAAGUUUACCAAGCUAAAAAUGAUUUUCUACGGUAAAAUAUUAUACAAAACACGGGAAAAAGAGUUUUUUUUAAGGUAAUCUAUAAAAAUAGUCACUUUUAUUUGCUGCAGGUUACAUUUUAGUUACUUAUGUUUGAAAUGUUACGUUUUAGUCACUUAUGUUAUUAUUUUAUUACGAAGUGAUCACUCUACCGUUAAGUUUCGUUAUCUCUCUAACGGUAAUUUUAGGUGGCAGUCCAACUAGAUUUUAGGUGCCAACUUAGAUUUCUAAAUGAGAUGCAAAUAGAUUUUUAAUUAAAAAAUUUAAUUAAUUAAAAUUUUUAAACCUAAACCUUAACUAAAAAAACUGUUCAUCUCCUCUUUUUUAUUUUUCUUUCAUCUCUUUUUUCUUUCAAUGGUUUUUUUUUCAUUUGACUGGAAAAAUUAUUAUUAAGUUCAAAAUAGCUGAAAUCAAAUUGACUACUUCGUAAGGAUGGAUUUAAUGGAAGGUUUAGAUAUGUCUUCUUUGCAUUCCUCUAUAUCUUUUAUUCAAUACUGAAAAAUAAAAGAUUAAAUUUUUUAUUGUUUAAUUUCAAGAAUUUUAAUUUAGGGAUUUCAUUAAACAAUAAAAAAUAAUAAUAUAAGUAACUAAAACUGUAAAAUUUUGAACAUAAAUAACUAAAAUGUAACUUGUGCAAAUAAAAAUAACUAUUUUUUAUAGAUUACCUUCUUUUUAAGAAAAUGUCUUACCCUUUUGAAUUGGGUAAGACAUUUUCCGGAAAAUGGCACCUUCUUCUCCCAUUUCCCCUUCCCCUUCCCCUUCCGGUUGUUUGGUCAAGGACCUUUUCCGGUUGCUCCUUCAUCCAUGUAAGGCUCAUUCUCCUUCUUCCGUUCUUCAUUUCUUUUCCUUCUUCCGUUCUUCAUCUUCUCUUCCAGGUAAAAGUCCGUCUCAUAUCUUCUCUUCUCAACAUAUUCUGUUUCGUUUCCUCUCUUUCUCUGUUUCUGAGGCAAAACUACCAUGAAUUCUUCACUGGGUCUUAACUUAAGGCGAUGAUCGUUCUUUGAUUUCUAACAUUUUUAUUUUAACGAAUUAUGCUGGUUGUCAUCAAAUUGAGAGAAAGUGUGUAGCCAAUGAAGAUUACAGAUUAUCUAUUGGGCUAUUCGCCUCCUAUUUGGGCAACUUUUGUUGCUGGAGUUUUAUCAAUCAUAACAAUUUCCCUUUCAUUGUUUCUUAUUUUCGAGCACCUUUCUUCAUACAAGAAUCCUGAGGUAAGUUUUUGUGUUUUUCUUUUUUUUCUAAUUGAAAUUUUCACUUUUUUCCUUAUUUGGUUUUGCAUUUUUUUUUUAAAAUUCUGUGUUCUUGGAUUGACAGGAGCAAAAGUUCUUGAUCGGAGUUGUUCUUAUGGUUCCUUGCUAUUCUGUAGAAUCGGUGAGUUUGUUUGUAUUAGUUGAAUGGAAGCAUUUGAAUCUAAUAUAGAUACAUAUUUU
rnacentral:lncRNA from 1 species